rnacentral:piRNA from 1 species
UGGCAGACACUAUGACCAAAAGCAACAC